rnacentral:rRNA from 2 species
CAGCCAUGCCGCGUGUGUGAAGAAGGCCUUUUGGUUGUAAAGCACUUUAAGCGAGGAGGAGGCUACUCUAGUUAAUACCUAGAGAUAGUGGACGUUACUCGCAGAAUAAGCACCGGCUAACUCUGUGCCAGCAGCCGCGGUAAUACAGAGGGUGCAAGCGUUAAUCGGAUUUACUGGGCGUAAAGCGCGCGUAGGUGGCCAAUUAAGUCAAAUGUGAAAUCCCCGAGCUUAACUUGGGAAUUGCAUUCGAUACUGGUUGGCUAGAGUAUGGGAGAGGAUGGUAGAAUUCCAGGUGUAGCGGUGAAAUGCGUAGAGAUCUGGAGGAAUACCGAUGGCGAAGGCAGCCAUCUGGCCUAAUACUGACACUGAGGUGCGAAAGCAUGGGGAGCAAACAGGAUUAGAUACCCUGGUAGUCCAUGCCGUAAACGAUGUCUACUAGCCGUUGGGGCCUUUGAGGCUUUAGUGGCGCAGCUAACGCGAUAAGUAGACCGCCUGGGGAGUACGGUCGCAAGACUAAAACUCAAAUGAAUUGACGGGGGCCCGCACAAGCGGUGGAGCAUGUGGU